GGACCGGUGGCUGAGUGGUCGAAAGCGCUCCCCUGCUAAGGGAGUAUACCAGAAAUGGUAUCGAGGGUUCGAAUCCCUCCCGGUCCGCCA
rnacentral:tRNA from 1 species